CUUACCAUGUGCUAAGUAAGCAACCACUGGGCCGAGCGAGGCUGAUGGGUUAAUAUGCAGAGGAGUUUGCGGGGGACCAGGACCUCACGGAGGCCCCAGAAAGCUCUCAGGAGGGCCCUUGAUCCUGCCUGGGAGGGAGGGGUUAGAGGAGGAUUCCUGGAAGAAGGAGGACCUAAACUGGGUCUUUCUAUUUUUUAAUUGGUAUUGGUUUCUUAAAACGUAGAAGU
rnacentral:lncRNA from 1 species